GCAUAUCAAUAAGCGGAGGAAAAGAAACCAACAGGGAUUGCCCCAGUAACGGCGAGUGAAGCGGCAACAGCUCAAAUUUGAAAUCUGGCCCCCCGGCCCGAGUUGUAAUUUGGAGAGGAUGCUUCUGGCGCGGCGCCGUCCGAGUUCCUUGGAACAGGACGCCACAGAGGGUGAGAGCCCCGUACGGACGGACGCCUAGCCUCUACGAAGCUCCUUCGACGAGUCGAGUAGUUUGGGAAUGCUGCUCAAAAUGGGAGGUAAAUUUCUUCUAAAGCUAAAUACCGGCCAGAGACCGAUAGCGCACAAGUAGAGUGAUCGAAAGAUGAAAAGCACUUUGAAAAGAGGGUUAAAAAGUACGUGAAAUUGUUGAAAGGGAAGCGCCUGUGACCAGACUUGCGCCUCGCGGACCACCCGGCGUUCUCGCCGGUGCACUCUGCGUGGCGCAGGCCAGCAUCGGUUCUCCCAGGGGGACAAAGGCCGCGGGAACGUAGCUCCUUUGGGAGUGUUAUAGCCCGCGGCGGCAUGCCCCUGGGGGGACCGAGGACCGCGCUUCGGCAAGGAUGCUGGCGUAAUGGUCACCAGCGACCCGUCUUGAAACACGGACCAAGGAGUCAAGCAUUGGGGCGAGUGUAUGGGUGCCAAACCCGCACGCGAAAUGAAAGUAAACGCAGGUGAGAGCUUCGGCGCAUCAUCGACCGAUCCUGAUGUCUUCGGAUGGAUUUGAGUAAGAGCCUUACCGCUUGGACCCGAAAGAUGGUGAACUAUGCCUGAAUAGGGUGAAGCCAGAGGAAACUCUGGUGGAGGCUCGCAGCGGUUCUGACGUGCAAAUCGAUCGUCAAAUUUGGGCAUGGGGGCGAAAGACUAAUCGAACCAUCUAGUAGCUGGUUACCGCCGAGU
rnacentral:rRNA from 1 species